rnacentral:lncRNA from 1 species
CCACAUGCUGAAAGUCAGAGCUCAGACUCACACUGCCCGCCCCCGCGCCGGACACUAACGACUUGGGAAUCACUAGGAGCAGAGCCUGGCAUGUGCGGGAGCCACCCUAAGAGAAACCAUCCCAGAAGAGAGGUGCUAACUAGGUGAAGACAUAUGACUCUGAGCUCCACUUCCUGAUUCUAAUGGAGGGAGAGUCUGGCAUGGAGCCAGGAAGCAGAAAAGGCAUGAAAGGAAGAACUAAUUUGGAGCUGGCGCAAUGUAUGGAUCCAUGACUGUGGACUUGGGCCUGGUGCCAGGCGGUGUUCUCAGUGCCCCGAGGACUGGUGCCUGCAGGAGCUGGAGGUUCCUAAUGGGGAACGGGAACUCUCUGGGUCACGUCAGACACAGGUAUAAGCCCCAUGGGGAGAAGGCAGGAUUUGAAAGGGAAGAAAACAAAGCAAAACAAUUAAAACUGUGUGCUUGAAAAUAAGGGGUCUCACAGAAAAUGACACAAGGAAUAGAGGACUUCCCUGCCCCCCCAGUUCCUGUCAACAACAGGAGGCUCGCUGACGACUCUGGUGUCCUGAAGGCCGGGGGCCUCAGCUGUGGUUGGAGGUAUCAGUGCCCAGCGGACCAGAAGGAACACAGCUGACGCCGCCGGACAGAAGCAGAGCCUGAUGGGAGGAGAGCCGCUUCUAGUGGGCAGUGGGACACUUCCGUCACGGCAGAAAGUUCUUCGGUGCGGCACUGCUGAGGAAGUCCACUCACCGUGCAAAGUGGUUGUCCCUGGCCUCACUCUAGAGACGAAAAAGAUGAUGUCCACUGAAUACAAGACUGGUUUAGUUGGUCUUCUUGUCCACCGAAGGAGGAAAGACUGUGAUAAGCCAGGAGAACACAGGGACGUCCUGGGCGUGGGGCCCACGAAGGCAGCGGCUGGGAGUGAGCAUGGCCCUGAAGGCUGUCCCUGCAGCAGAAACGUAAUAACACUAGUUACCAUCGUGGUGUGCUUGUUGGUGCCUGGCUCUUCACAUUCUCUCUUGCAAUCCUCAUGA